UUUUAUUGGCUGUUAGACUAUAAUUGGAGGUAACCGCAAAGAUUUGAAGGCAACAAAGAAAAAAAACACCGAUACAAUAUUAAAUACUUUCAAAUGUUUAUCACUUUUUAAAUUGUGGUUAAAAAUAUGGUCACAAGUGGUUAAUGAACACGUCAAAGAAAGACUUUAAGACAAGGCUAAAGAUGUAUAAUUGAUUACAAUUUAUCAAUAUUGGAAUGUUAACUUUCAAUAUUUAUAGUUGUAAUAUAAAGUUGAGCGUAAUCACACCGAAUAAAAGAUGGCUGAUGAAUACAGGUCUAAUGGAACAGAAAAUAAUUACUAAACAUGAUUGGAAAAUUUGUUCAUCAAAAAGACACUAAAAUUGGAUUAAUUCGAUUAAUGGUGACAUGCAUAAAAAGAUUUAACCCUAUUAAAACACAUCAAGGAGGCCAAUUAAUAUUACAAAGACAAUAGGUUAACAUUACUUUGGUGACCAUUUUCAAGUUGUGAUGGAGUUUAUUGGACACUAAAGUUAAACUGAAAACUGAAAGGGAUCAAGUUAAAGGCAAAAUGUUACUUUCGUAAAAAAAUAACAGAAAAGAUCAUUACUAUCAACAUGAUCAUGGAAUUGUUUUUGAAUUCAUUGAGAAGGAAAAAAAGCUCUUCACUAAUGGGAAACGAAAGGGAGUUCAAGAAAUAAGCAACUGAAAGACUAUUACGAUCUUGGAGGAUGAUGAUAAUGAUAAGAUGAAUUCUGUAUGUCAAGCAAAGUUUCGCUUCUCAGCAUCUCUUUCAUUUACCUCUUUCUUUUGCCUUUCAACUCUCAACAUUAUGCUACCACUGAGUUCUCAUGCUCAUGCCUAAUAUUCAGCUUCAUCUUUAUUCUGAUCAUCUUAUCCUUUCUCUCCUUCAAUCUCCUCUUCUUUAAUCUUCACUUUUUUUAUGUUUGAAAAAGAAGUUUCACUUUUGCCACUCACUCAAAAUUGAUACUCUAGUAUACAAAACGAAAGGGAAGGGAAUAUCGUGUUAACCUGAUACAUGAUUCCAAAGAUGACAAGGAAGAAAAAGAAAAGAAAAGCAUUUUUUGGUUCACUGAAAUGAAAAGUAGAAGCUGAUGAAGGAAGGAAAUGGAAGAUAGAAACAGAUGAUCAAGGCUUUGCAAAGCUUUAUAAAUUGGUUUUGGUAUUGAUCUUGAGAAAUCUUGUUCCACUUUUAUACUCUUUGCCUGUCUUUGGAGAAUCAUGAAUUGACGCAAAACAACAGUUGCUCGUCUGUUUGGCUUUAACUUACCUUGAGCCGUGCGAGUAAAUUGAAGAUGAAGUAGAUUGAUUUGAAAUGGCUUGAACUGCUCCUUGGAUUUCCUCUAUUGUUGGUUGAGGUAAUCGCCGUCGAUCUUUACGAUUAGGAGUUGCUGGAGCUGAUGAUGAGGGUCCAGAAAAUUGGGAAUGACGAUGGGCUGAUGUGACAACUGAUGAAGAUGCUGUCGAUGAUGCAGUUGUUGAUGUUGCUGAAGAGGUUGCUGUUACAUGAUGAUCAGAGAUACAAAUGAGAUAAUAUCAAUUUGAUGUUCUCACAAAUAACAUGAACGAUAUCGGUGUCAAUUUAUUUGGUUGGACCAUUAAUAAAAGGAUAACUACUACAGGCAUCAUCAAACCAUCAUCAUCAAGAUCGAUAAUAUUACAUGGCAAGUCUAGGAUAAAGGGAAACUUUAUACAGACAUAAACACACGUAAAUAUUUUUGCUACAAUCUUAUAUCAUUUCAAGCUUCAACUUGGAUGAUUGAGAGGUGGAAGAAGAAGUAGGAGCAAAAAAACUGAGCUGCUAAGUUGGACACCUUUACUAAACUAGUCAACUCUGAGCAAAAUGAUGAUGAUGAAUUGAUGGAUGGUUAUGAAGCAAAAAGAUGGUAUGAGCACAAAUAUAUGGGUGAAAAAAUGCUAACUGGAAAUGAACAAAACUGAAAGGAAAAAGCAUCUUGUCCAUCAUCAUCAUCAUUGACUGUUUAAAUCUAGACAGAUUAUCAUAAUUCAACUAAUAUCUUUACAGAUUUUUCCAACUUAAUCUUGGCGCUUUUUUUGUCUUCCCGCUUUUCUUGCUCUUAACAGUCUUAUGGCAACACAGUUUUCAUUAGUUACUUGACAAUGAAGCUGCAAUAAUUUUUAUAAUAUUUACGAAUUUAAUUAAUGUGUCUUAAAAACGUCUACAAUACAUCAUGGCUACUGAUCUAAUGUUAUUUCUGGUUUGGCAUAGAUUGCUCAUUGGACCAAUGGAAGGGUUGAUCAAUACAAAUAAUAUAGAUAAUUCAACCUCACAUUGAAAAUGAACGGAUAAAGUAGGAUUCAAAUGAAGAGGAUAAUGAAGUCAAUGGAUGAUAAGAUUUGGUACCACAUGUCUGUAUUAAUAUUGAUGUAACUCUAUAUGAAUUACUCUGCUGGUCAGCUUUAUUAACUUUGCUUCCAUUUUUAUCAUUGUCAAAGAUUACUUACUGGUCAUUACUAUUUGCUCAUUAUUCAAGCAUCUUUGGUGUGUCAAUGAAUUUAUCGAUCAUUAAUAACAAAGUCGUUAAUGUCAUUACCCAUACUUGAACCUGCUUAUUCAAUAUUGGCUACUUUAUGGUUAAACUAAUCAAUUCAACAAAUCAAUUGCAGGAAAAUUAGCUAACCAUUGAUUUGUCAAUUUUGAUAUGACAUCUUUAAACAGUGAAAAUUGGAAAAUUUAUUUUUAGACUUGAUCAAUCGAUGAUGGAAUAUUUUUGACCGUUUGAAGUCCAUUCCAAAUAACCAGUCGCUUGAUUCAAAAAAGUCCCUCAGCAAGGAAUUCAAUUAAUCAUGCAUUCGCAAUGUAAUUUAUCGAUCUCAGUAUCCAACAAUUGUCAGUACAUUAAGUCUCAUAAUACAAUUACCAUUUGACCAAGUUAAUGGGCUUAAACAAAAUUAAAUUUAUAAAACCAUUUACGGUUAAACUGUUAAUUUUUGAUGACAUUUUUUCUCAGUGUCACUCUAUUAAUAUUAGACAUUAACUAGCUAAUAAAUCUUUCUAAUAACCCUUGGCAAAAAAAAGUUUAACAGCUGAGCAACAAUACAAUUUACAUCAAUAUUUACAACUAAAUAUAACAUUAAAAUCCAUUAGCAGAUGUAGUAUUAACAUUUUUUUUCAAAA